GACCCAGACCAAGCCUCUCAUUAGUCAUCGGCUGGGUGCCGCGCUCCUUUUUGGAGUGGUUAAAGGGGGAACUGGCGAGGGUCUGGCAGUUCCACUGUACUCCACUCCCAGCACCAUCACAACCCGACCUCAUCAAAGUGAGCGCUCGUAAUUUGUCACAGAAAGCAGCCAAUUAACAUAUGUUAAGGGAGGAGGGAGGAGGAGAAGAAGGGAAGAGAGGAGGAGAGGGAGAGAGGUCCGCCUGCCGGGUGUUUGGUCCGGCCGUCUGACAGGAAGGUGGAAGCCGCUCGCCUGCUGGGGGACGGAGUUCGUCGAGACGCACUUAAAAUCCAGGAGCGCAACUUAGCAGAAGACGGCGCCGGGAGGA